UACGUAGGGUGCGAGCGUUGUCCGGAAUUAUUGGGCGUAAAGAGCUUGUAGGCGGUUUGUCGCGUCUGCUGUGAAAAUCCGGGGCUCAACCCCGGACUUGCAGUGGGUACGGGCAGACUAGAGUGUGGUAGGGGAGACUGGAAUUCCUGGUGUAGCGGUGAAAUGCGUAGAUAUCUGGAGGAAUACCGGUGGCGAAGGCGGCAUCCUGGACCGGCAUUGACGCUGAGGAGCGAAAGCCAGGGGAGCAAACGGG
rnacentral:rRNA from 1 species